UACGUAGGGGGCCAGCGUUGUCCGGAUUUAUUGGGCGUAAAGAGCGUGUAGGCGGCCAGGUAGGUCUGCUGUGAAAACUCGAGGCUCAACCUCGAGACGUCGGCGGAAACCAUCUGGCUAGAGUCCGGAAGAGGAGAGUGGAAUUCCUGGUGUAGCGGUGAAAUUCGUAGAUAUUAGGAAGAACACCAGUGGCGAAGGCGGCUCACUGGUCCGGUACUGACGCUGAGGUGCGAAAGCGUGGGGAGCAAACAGG
rnacentral:rRNA from 1 species